UAAUUAGAGGCUCGUUUUCGGUAUAUAGAGAGCACGUGAGGAACACUAGUCAACCAGUCAUAACCAAAUGUUAGACAAGUACUUAUGUAUAUGUCAUGUCUGUGCAAAAAGUAAACUUUAAGUCUAGAACAAUUGUGUUUAUUUUCUUAUAUUAAUAUCCAAAUCCUUAAAACUCGUUUUGAGUCUACUCGGCUCAUAACAAAAGGAUUAAAGUCUACAACAUGGAUCACUGUUUUAGGUGGAAAAUUGGUUUUACACAGGCAACAUUAAUUAUUGUUAUACUCUAUUUCACAUUAGUUUAGAAAAUCUCGCGCACUCAUAAAAACCACCGGAAUGAUCGGACCGCUAUAAUUAGCUGUGGCUGUCGGAAUCUAUCGUUUUUUGUCGCGGUUGAACGACCGCUGCAGCCCGUGGACGUAUUAACAGCGUGUCACGGAUUAGUUCGUUUAGGUAAGUAAGGUAUACGCGGAAUGUGGGGUGUUUUGAUAAUACAGCUCACUACGUAUCUUUGU